AACAAAAUAUCUGCGCAACAGACCCUCUCCGGAUCGAGUUGGAGACAAGUUGGCUAACUUCUGAAUGAUUUUUUGCGUUUCUUGAUUUUGCUU